CUGUCCGCCCUGCUGGGAGGCUGGCUGCCUGCCGCAGUGGAGCCAGACCCUGCCUGGCUAGAUAAGAGGAAUCAGGAUGCACUUUGGUCUCCCCCAGUCAUGCAUGAAAAUUCUGAUUGGGCCAGUUUGCAGGAUGGAGAGUUUGUCCGGCUACGCUGCCAGCUCAGUGGAUGGAGAAGUCAUUUUCCUCUUCAGUUUCACCAGUGCUUUAAAACAGAGACACUCUAAAGGCAGCCAGGGCUGUCUGGAGAAAGCUGCAGCUAAACCCUGGUAAUCUCUCAAACCUGGAACCAAUUUGGUUUACAUGACUCUCCAGAGUGGCUCAAAUUAAUCGGGUGUUCCACAACAUGCCUGACCCCUCAGUCUUUAAUUUCUAGACACAGAAACUAGACAUUUCCUCCCCUGUGAAGCCAAAUGUACCAUCAAAAUAUGAAGACUCCUGGCUAAUAUUACAGCCCAGGGCCUCUUGGGAAACUUGGUUACCAAUCAGCAUGAGAAGGAAGGGCUGUUAUGACACCGUAGGAAGUUCUAAAUCAACUCUGCUUGCUGAGACUCUAACAUUUCCUUGGGUCUUUUCAAUCACUCAAGUAUUAAGGUGACUUGGUGGCUUUCUCCCCCUAACGAUUACUGUACCUCCUACAGCCACCUAGCCGCUGACCCCUCAAUUCUGCAGAACAAGGAGCUCCUCUAUCAUAAACACUGCAACCAAAACACAGCCUCAGCAAACUGUAGGUGAAAUGAGGCCUGAAACCUGGAGUGCUUGGCCCCUCUGCUGUGUGGCCACAGUACUGAAUGAGCCGCUCCAGCCAGUGUUCAAGCGUCAGAAAAGGGAGCGAAAGCCAAGACGGCAACAUUCAAGCUUUCUUCUUUCCGGCAUACCUACUGUUCUCCCGCAUCACGCACCUCCUGAAGGUGAAGUGCUCUAAAGUCCCAUACGUCGUCCUGCUCUAGCGUCCCCCCGCAGGGAAGCUAUUUAUCAUAAAACCCUCAGUGAGCACUGUCCUCAAGGGCUCUUCUCAGCGUCAUCCUAGCUGAAGGCCCAGCUCCGUGGUGCUGCUAGGAGACGCCUGUUGGGUC
rnacentral:lncRNA from 1 species